CUUCCGGUCGAUGAGGUAGAUGUACCUCAUCAAUUGGAAGGGUUUCCUUCCGUUCGUUGACCGGAAGGAAACCCUUCUGAUCAGCGAGGUACAUCUACCUCGUUGACCAGAAG
rnacentral:miRNA from 1 species